rnacentral:lncRNA from 1 species
GAUUCCAAAGUUUUCUCUAAGAAUCUUUGAAGUCGCUCUGAAUGUCACUAGCAGUGGAAUCAACAAUACCUGCUUGUAAUAGUUUAUAGGCACUCUCACCGAGAACUCCCUUAAUGACUCACCUCUCCACACUUGAAAAUCAUCGUAGUCCUUCUUCACCAAAGGAAUACAUAGGAUUCUAGCCACAUUAUCUCCUGAGAAAGUAUUUUCAAUAACCUUUCUUUUCCACUCUCUAGAAUUAUUAUCUAUUAAGUCCGAAACCAAAGAUAUACCAGGGUUACUAAUACUAUUGCUUAACUUGUAGCUAGUUGCCCCAGGUAACUAU